rnacentral:tRNA from 1 species
GAAAGAGUAAUUAAAUAUAUAAUAUUAGUUUGUGGUGCUAAUUUUAUUGGUUAGAGUCCAUUUUUUUUCC